rnacentral:rRNA from 1 species
UCGAUACCUAAUCCGAAAGGAAUGACCUGUGAACGAGUGUUCACACACGCGUUGCAGUGGGCCUCCACGGUUCUGUGCUGCUAAUCCACGGGGCUCCGAGUAUUGCAUCGAGCUUGCUCUUCGCAACUCCGGUGCUUCCGUUGGAAAUCACCAAACCCCGGCGUGAAAAGCGCCAAGGAAUAUAUAAACGAAACAGCUCGCUCUAGAUGGCCCUCACAAGGUGUUCCGUCUGGAUGCGUGUCUGCGUCAUAAGUCUAUAACGACUCUCGGCAACGGAUAUCUCGGCUCUCGCAUCGAUGAAGAACGUAGCGAAAUGCGAUACUUGGUGUGAAUUGCAGAAUCCCGUGAACCAUCGAGUCUUUGAACGCAAGUUGCGCCCCAAGCCGUCAGGCCGAGGGCACGUCUGCCUGGGUGUCACGCAUCGUCGUCCCCCACACACCCGGUGCUACACGCCCGGGUGAACACGGAGACGGAGAUUGGUCUCCCGUGUGUUACCGCACGCGGUUGGCCCAAAAUCGAGCCAAGGGCGUGAUCGUCCUGACGAGCGGUGGUGUAUAGAUGCCUCGUGUUAAUGUUGUUCGAUCACGUCCCUCAUGACUCUGCGACCCUUCUAGAGCUGCUAAGGCGGCUCUCCGAACGCGACCCCAGGUCAGGCGGGA